GAUGAACGCUGGCGGCGUGCCUAACACAUGCAAGUCGAACGAAGCAAUUUAACGGAAGUUUUCGGAUGGAAGUUGAAUUGACUGAGUGGCGGACGGGUGAGUAACGCGUGGGUAACCUGCCUUGUACUGGGGGACAACAGUUAGAAAUGACUGCUAAUACCGCAUAAGCACACGUGAUCGCAUGAUCGAGUGUGAAAAACUCCGGUGGUAUGAGAUGGACCCGCGUCUGAUUAGCUGGUUGGUGGGGUAACGGCCCACCAAGGCGACGAUCAGUAGCCGGCCUGAGAGGGUGAACGGCCACAUUGGGACUGAGACACGGCCCAA
rnacentral:rRNA from 1 species